rnacentral:rRNA from 1 species
AACGGAGGGGGCAAGUGUUAUUCGUGAUGACUGGGCGUAAAGGGCACCUAGGUGUUUUUAUAAGUUCUUAGUGAAAGGCUGAAGCUUAACUUUUUAAAUGCUUUGAAUACUGUAAAAAUAGAGAUUAAAAGGAGAAGGCGGUACUCUUAAGGGAAAAGUGAAAUUUGUCGAUCUAAAAGAGGACUCUCGAUGGUGAAAGCAGCUUUCUAGUUUAAUCUGACGCUGAAGUUACUAAAGCAUGGGGAGCGAACGGG